AGUGGCGAAGGCGGCUUGCUGGACUAAAACUGACGCUGAGGAACGAAAGCAUGGGUAGCAAACGGGAUUAGAUACCCCCGGUAGUCCAUGCCGUAAACGAUGUCAACUAACUGUUGGGUACUUCGGUACUUAGUGGUGGAGCUAACGUAUUAAGUUGACCGCCUGGGGAGUACGGCCGCAAGGCUAAAACUCAAAUGAAUUGACGGGGGCCCGCACAAGCGGUGGAGCAUGUGGUUUAAUUCGAUGCAACGCGAAGAACCUUACCUACCCUUGACAUCCAGAGAAUCUGUUAGAGAUAAUUGAGUGCCUUCGGGAACUCUGAGACAGGUGCUGCAUGGCUGUCGUCAGCUCGUGUUGUGGAAUGUUGGGUUAAGUCCCGUAACGAGCGCAACCCUUAUCCUUAGUUGCCAGCACGUAAUGGUGGGAACUCUAGGGAGACUGCCGGUGAUAAACCGGAGGAAGGUGGGGACGACGUCAAGUCAUCAUGGCCCUUAUGGGUAGGGCUACACACGUGCUACAAUGGCCAGUACAGAGGGCUGCAAACUUGCGAGAGUAAGCAAAUCCCAGAAAGCUGGUCUUAGUCCGGAUUGGAGUCUGCAACUCGACUCCAUGAAGUUGGAAUCGCUAGUAAUCGCGAAUCAGAACGUUGCGGUGAAUACGUUCCCGGGCCUUGUACACACCGCCCGUCACACCAUGGGAGUGGGUUGCAAAAGAAGUGGGUAGACUAACCUUCGGGAGGUCGCUCACCACUUUGUGGUUCAUGACUGGGGUGAAGUCGUAACAAGGUA
rnacentral:rRNA from 1 species